rnacentral:rRNA from 1 species
GACGAACGCUGGCGGCGUGCUUAACACAUGCAAGUCGAACGGAAAGGCCCUGCUUUUGUGGGGUGCUCGAGUGGCGAACGGGUGAGUAACACGUGAGUAACCUGCCCUUGACUUUGGGAUAACUUCAGGAAACUGGGGCUAAUACCGGAUAGGAGCUCCUGCUGCAUGGUGGGGGUUGGAAAGUUUCGGCGGUUGGGGAUGGACUCGCGGCUUAUCAGCUUGUUGGUGGGGUAGUGGCUUACCAAGGCUUUGACGGGUAGCCGGCCUGAGAGGGUGACCGGCCACAUUGGGCCUGAGCUACGGCCCAGACCCCUACGGGAGGCAGCAGUGGGGAAUAUUGCACAAUGGGCGGAAGCCUGAUGCAGCAACGCCGCGUGCGGGAUGACGGCCUUCGGGUUGUAAACCGCUUUCGCCUGUGACGAAGCGUGAGUGACGGUAAUGGGUAAAGAAGCACCGGCUAACUACGUG